GACGAACGCUGGCGGCGUGCUUAACACAUGCAAGUCGAACGAUGAAGCCCAGCUUGCUGGGUGGAUUAGUGGCGAACGGGUGAGUAAUACGUGAGUAACCUGCCUUUAACUCUGGGAUAAGCCUUGGAAACGGGGUCUAAUACCGGAUACGACCAACCCUCGCAUGGGGUGUUGGCGGAAAGGGAUUUUGUACUGGUUUUAGAUGGGCUCACGGCCUAUCAGCUUGUUGGUGAGGUAACGGCUCACCAAGGCGACGACGGGUAGCCGGCCUGAGAGGGUGACCGGCCACACUGGGACUGAGACACGGCCCAGACUCCUACGGGAGGCAGCAGUGGGAAUAUUGCACAAUGGGCGCAAGCCUGAUGCAGCGACGCCGCGUGAGGGAUGACGGCCUUCGGGUUGUAAACCUCUUUCAGCAGGGGAGAAGCGAAAGUGACGGUACCUGCAGAAGAAGCGCCGGCUAACUACGUGCCAGCAGCCGCGGUAAUACGUAGGGCGCGAGCGUUGUCCGGAAUUAUUGGGCGUAAAGAGCUUGUAGGCGGUUUGUCGCGUCUGCUGUGAAAGCCCGGGGCUUAACCCCGGGUUUGCAGUGGGUACGGGCAGACUAGAGUGCAGUAGGGGAGACUGGAAUUCCUGGUGUAGCGGUGAAAUGCGCAGAUAUCAGGAGGAACACCAAUGGCGAAGGCAGGUCUCUGGGCUGUAACUGACGCUGAGAAGCGAAAGCAUGGGGAGCGAACAGGAUUAGAUACCCUGGUAGUCCAUGCCGUAAACGUUGGGCACUAGGUGUGGGGAACAUUCCACGUUUUCCGCGCCGUAGCUAACGCAUUAAGUGCCCCGCCUGGGGAGUACGGCCGCAAGGCUAAAACUCAAAGAAAUUGACGGGGGCCCGCACAAGCGGCGGAGCAUGCGGAUUAAUUCGAUGCAACGCGAAGAACCUUACCAAGGCUUGACAUAUACUGGACCGCUCUAGAGAUAGAGUUUCCCUUUUAGGGCUGGUAUACAGGUGGUGCAUGGUUGUCGUCAGCUCGUGUCGUGAGAUGUUGGGUUAAGUCCCGCAACGAGCGCAACCCUCGUUCUAUGUUGCCAGCACGUAAUGGUGGGGACUCAUAGGAGACUGCCGGGGUUAACUCGGAGGAAGGUGGGGAUGACGUCAAAUCAUCAUGCCCCUUAUGUCUUGGGCUUCACGCAUGCUACAAUGGCCGGUACAAAGGGUUGCGAUACUGUGAGGUUGAGCUAAUCCCAAAAAGCCGGUCUCAGUUCGGAUUGGGGUCUGCAACUCGACCCCAUGAAGUCGGAGUCGCUAGUAAUCGCAGAUCAGCAACGCUGCGGUGAAUACGUUCCCGGGCCU
rnacentral:rRNA from 1 species